GAUGAACGCUGGCGGCGUGCCUAAUACAUGCAAGUCGAGCGAACGGACGAGAAGCUUGCGCCUCUGAUGUUAGCGGCGGACGGGUGAGUAACACGUGGAUAACCUACCUAUAAGACUGGGAUAACUUCGGGAAACCGGAGCUAAUACCGGAGAAUAUUUUGAACCGCAUGGUUCAAAAGUGAAAGACGGUCUUGCUGUCACUUAUAGAUGGAUCCGCGCUGCAUUAGCUAGUUGGUAAGGUAACGGCUUACCAAGGCAACGAUGCAUAGCCGACCUGAGAGGGUGAUCGGCCACACUGGAACUGAGACACGGUCCAGACUCCUACGGGAGGCAGCAGUAGGGAAUCUUCCGCAAUGGGCGAAAGCCUGACGGAGCAACGCCGCGUGAGUGAUGAAGGUCUUCGGAUCGUAAAACUCUUUUAUUAGGGAAGAACAUAUGUGUAAGUAACUCUGCACAUCUUGACGGUACCUAAUCAGAAAGCCCCGGCUAACUACGUG
rnacentral:rRNA from 1 species